rnacentral:hammerhead_ribozyme from 1 species
AUCCAGAUGAUGAGUCCAAAAUAGGACAGGUGAAAUGCGCAUCUAGCUGGAU